GAUGAACGCUGGCGGCGUGCUUAACACAUGCAAGUCGAACGAUGAAGCCCAGCUUGCUGGGUGGAUUAGUGGCGAACGGGUGAGUAACACGUGAGUAACCUGCCCUUAACUCUGGGAUAAGCCUGGGAAACUGGGUCUAAUACCGGAUAGGAGCGUCCACCGCAUGGUGGGUGUUGGAAAGAUUUAUCGGUUUUGGAUGGACUCGCGGCCUAUCAGCUUGUUGGUGAGGUAAUGGCUCACCAAGGCGACGACGGGUAGCCGGCCUGAGAGGGUGACCGGCCACACUGGGACUGAGACACGGCCCAGACUCCUACGGGCGGCAGCAGUGGGGAAUAUUGCACACUGGGCGCAAGCCUGAUGCAGCGACGCCGCGUGAGGGAUGACGGCCUUCGGGUUGUAAACCUCUUUCAGUAGGGAAGAAGCGAAAGUGACGGUACCUGCAGAAGAAGCACCGGCUAACUACGUG
rnacentral:rRNA from 1 species